CGUAUCGAACAAUAGAACAAACAGCGUUUCAUCUGGAAAGCGCUUUGUUUAAAGCUUCAUUGGUGGGAAUUCGCCCUAACACCAAAACGAAGCAGGGGGGAUUUCUUGUUCAUACUAAAAGGUAAAGCACUGCAAAAGAAAGGUAAAUGAAACAGAAUAUGCCAGACACGAAGAGAAGUUUUUGUACAAUUUUAUGCUUGCAGCAAAUUACUUCAUGACAAAGUUUCCCAAAGCUCUGAAACAUGAGACGGACGACACAGUUGGUACUCAAGCCCCAAUCGCGAUAAAAAGAAAAUAUAAGUUUACGUUUAACCGUUAUCUUUUACCCGACAAAUACAAAACAUGUGAAAAAUG